rnacentral:tRNA from 1 species
GGCCGCGUGGCCUAAUGGCUAAGGCGCUAGAUUUCGGUCUUUCUCAUCUCUAGAGAUUCCAGGUUCGACUCCUGGCGUGGUCG